GCGAGGCCGCUCAACCGGCUCCCCUCGCCUAGCUGCAGCAAGUCGGGACGGGAGGGGCCUGGGCGGAGCCCCUAACUCUGGCAAAGUGAAGCUCCUGACCACGCCCCCGCAAAUUCUGUUAAGUACUUUCACCCCCUGACCUUUGAGGAUGGAGAAUGCUGGAACUUGAGGAAAUCGUUUUACGUUCCCAGCUACAAAGGAAAAAGAUGGUUACCCACCACCACGGCAACACCUCUAAGUCUUAUUUCCCCACUUCCUGUCUUCAGAUUCUGAAUUUUCUCCCUUUGUUUCUCUGGAGAGAGUUUGUAAGCACUGACUGCCAUUCUGAAAGAAGUUCCUUCUGUAGGUUUGAGUGAACACCUGUCAGUCAUCUUCGUAAUACCGGGUUGGAUACCUAAAGCUGCGGGGGGAAAGGAGAAAUCAGGAGAACUUUCAGGACGAGACUGUAUCCAACACUUCAGAUAUGGCAGAAAC